CUCUCUCAUCCUCUCCAGGUCUCCAGUUUCCUCCGCAUCAAGAUAGUCUUUCUGGGCCUGCAGUUUUGUUACAUCUGGGAAGAAAUCCCUCUGGAUGAUCUUCUCCAAGCUCUAUUAACAAAAUGGCAAAGGUCCUCCAGCGCGUCCAGCUGCUCCUCCGUGAAGAUGGUGCGGUGUCGCCUCGUUCUCCUCUGUGCUUGAACGGGCGAUGCGGUGUCUUCUAUGUGAACCUCUCCUAGCUUGCUCGGAUCCGAGUGAGCUGUUGUUCCGGUCCAUUCAUAGCGACAAGAUGCUGCUGGAAGGGCAGAGGCACACUCUGAUGUCAGGAACGCUGCUGUUUUUAAGGAAGUGCUGCAAAAAUGCGUGAGCAGCAGCAGCAGCAGCAGCAACAACACAAACACGUCUGAUGGACACACGAAGAGCUCCUCAUCUCAUCUUUGACUCCGGCGCCUCCAAAAUUUUCGCAAGUGUCAGGGUAUUUUCUCAGGAUGUCUUCAAUGCUGAAAGGAAACUUUUGUCUCUCCAGUCUCAUGAGAGCGUCCAUGUCCUCAGCCUAUCUCAUCGCUGUGUCUCCCCCUCAUAGAGACCCCUGCAAGGUGUGAGAGGAGGGUAAAUAAAUAGUUGGGAGUAUAAUCCCCUCUCGGACACAUAAAAUGCUAGAAAGUUAAUUCUCGGCUAAUCUGGCCAGUUUUGUGAGGAGGUUAGGCUGUGCAGCAGAUUGGGUUAAUCUCGCCUCGUUCCUUUUCUCCCAGAGAAAUCAGAUUUUGGGCUGCAUAAAAUGAGAUGUGGAUCCUUAUUGUUAGUGUGGGGGGUUUAGAGAGAGAGAGAAAAGGGGAUUGCUUGGUAUUAGGAGGCUGGAUUUAAAGACAGACUAAUAAUGUCACUCAUCUGUUAUAACAAAUCAUGUGUAGAAUAUGUAAGAUGGACAAUGAAGCCAUUACUGUAGCGGUGUUGAAAGUGCAGCCCGGGGGCCAUUUGUGUGCCAUUGCUUGUUUUCUUAUUGGCCUGCAACACAUUCUACCAUUUAUUCAUUUGUGACAUUUAUUUUCUUACAGGCAAUUUGUCGUCUGUCAUAUCAGCUAUUAGUAUCAACAUUUUAACUUUUCUAGUCACAUGAAGCCUUUUGGCUAAAUUUUUUUCCCAAGUUGUUGGGUUUUAGUUUAUUUUAUUUCUGCAAUGAGCCACGUUACACAGAUGCGCCACACUUUGGACACCCCUGCGUGUUUGGCAAACUAGACCGUUUUGGUUUUGCCAGGAAGGCAAGGUGUUGCCAGGCAACAGGAGUGUGUCCAAGCUCUGCAUCCUUGGGUCUAUCGGUUGCAUUGCGGAGGGGUUUAUGCAUCUUUCAGAUUUCUGUACAAUUUCAUUACACUUCAAGUAAGAAACACUUUCUACCUAUAUAUAGAGACCAUGUCUCUCAGUCGUUAACACGGAUCUCUUGUACGUAUGAGGUGUGUUACGAAGCUAAACCGGUGACCACUGGUUCUAGUAAAGUGGGCUAACUUCUAUCUAGAAUCUGGUCAAAGUACCUAAGAGAAGUUCAUCCAAAAACCAGGUUUUGGAUGAACUGACUUAUUUGUAUGCUAACAUUCUUGAGACUGUUUUCUGUGUCCUGUCAUGACAGCUGUCUCUUUUACAAAAUUGGUGACGAGAAGUAACAACCAUUCACACUCACAUUCAUACCUAUGGACAAUUUGGAGUGGCCAAUUAACCUAGCAUGUUUUUGGAAUGUGGGAGGAAACCGGAGUACCCGGAGAAAACCCACGCAUGCACGGGGAGAACAUGCAAACUCCACACAGAGAUGGCCGAGGGUGAGAUUGAACUUGGGUCUCCUAGCUGUGAGGUCUGUGCGCUAACCACUAGAUCACCACGCAGCCCUG